rnacentral:rRNA from 1 species
UCCAGACUCCUACGGGAGGCAGCAGUGAGGAAUAUUGGUCAAUGGCCGAGAGGCUGAACCAGCCAAGUCGCGUGAGGGAUGGCGGCCCUACGGGUUGUAAACCUCUUUUGCCGGGGAGCAAAGAGCGGGACGCGUCCCGCCUCGAGAGUACCCGGAGAAAAAGCAUCGGCUAACUCCGUGCCAGCAGCCGCGGUAAUACGGAGGAUGCGAGCGUUAUCCGGAUUUAUUGGGUUUAAAGGGUGCGCAGGCGGAAUGUCAAGUCAGCGGUAAAAUUUCGGGGCUCAACCCCGUCGUGCCGUUGAAACUGGCGUUCUUGAGUGAGCGAGAAGUAUGCGGAAUGCGUGGUGUAGCGGUGAAAUGCAUAGAUAUCACGCAGAACUCCGAUUGCGAAGGCAGCAUACCGGCGCUCAACUGACGCUCAUGCACGAAAGCGUGGGUAUCGAACAGGAUUAGAUACCCGAGUA